ACGAACGCUGGCGGCGUGCUUAACACAUGCAAGUCGAACGAUGACGACCGAGCUUGCUCGGUCUGAUUAGUGGCGAACGGGUGAGUAACACGUGAGCAACCUGCCCUUCCCUCUGGGAUAACCUCGGGAAAUCGGGGCUAAUACCGGAUAUGGGCUCCUGUCGCAUGGCGGGUGUUGGAAAGUUUUUCGGUGAAGGAUGGGCUCGCGGCCUAUCAGUUUGUUGGUGAGGUAGUGGCUCACCAAGGCGAUGACGGGUAGCCGGCCUGAGAGGGCGACCGGCCACACUGGGACUGAGACACGGCCCAGACUCCUACGGGAGGCAGCAGUGGGGAAUAUUGCACAGUGGGCGAAAGCCUGAUGCAGCGACGCCGCGUGAGGGAUGACGGCCUUCGGGUUGUAAACCUCUUUCAGCAGGGAAGAAGCGAAAGUGACGGUACCUGCAGAAGAAGCGCCGGCUAACUACGUG
rnacentral:rRNA from 1 species